rnacentral:rRNA from 1 species
GGGUGAACGCUGGCGGCGUGCUUGACACAUGCAAGUCGAACGGUAUGUGGCAACACAUAGAGUGGCGAACGGGUGAGUAACACGUGGGAACGUACCCUACGCAGGGGGAUAACUGACCGAAAGGACAGCUAAUACCGCAUAAGACCGAAAGGUGAAAGGUGCAACUGCACCGGCGAAGGAGCGGCCCGCGGACCAUCAGCUAGUUGGUGGGGUAAGAGCCUACCAAGGCAACGACGGAUAGCCGGCGUGAGAGCGUGGCCGGCCACAAGGACACUGAGAUACGGGUCCUACUCCUACGGGAGGCAGCAGUGCGGAAUUUUAGAUAAUGGAGGCAACUCUGAUCUAGCGACGCCGCGUGCAGGAAGAAGGUCUUCGGAUUGUAAACUGCUGUGGUAAGGGAAAAAUGCCAUGUAGAGUGGAAAGCUACAUGGAGGGAUGGUACUUUACUAGAAAGCCCCGGCUAACUACGUGCCAGCAGCCGCGGUAAUACGUAGGGGGCGAGCGUUACCCGGAAUCACUGGGCGUAAAGGGAGCGUAGGUGGCCUGACAUGUCAACUGUGAAAACCCGGAGCUCAACUCCGGACUUGCAGUUGAAACUGCCAGGCUUGAGGACGGUAGAGGAAGACGGAACUGCCAGUGUAGGGGUAAAAUCCUUAGAUAUUGGCAGGAACGCCGGUGACGAAGGUGGUUUUCUGGGCCGGUUCUGACACUGAUGCUCGAAAGCCAGGGGAGCGAACG